rnacentral:rRNA from 1 species
GUGAUGCUCGAGUUAGUAAGAAACUCCAUAACUAUGAAGUAACUUCUUUUAUCUUCAUGUAUAAAACUAGCGUCCAGCUGUGUGUUUCUGUUUUCUAGGUGAUAUCUAGCUAUAGUUCACUAAUUUAUGUUCUGAUGUGUUCAUAACAUUGUAACCACAACAGGGAUAAAAU